rnacentral:rRNA from 1 species
UACGUAGGGUGCAAGCGUUGCCCGGAUUUAUUGGGCGUAAAGAGCUCGUAGGCGGUCUGUCGCGUCUGCUGUGAAAACUCAGGGCUUAACCCUGAGCUUGCAGUGGGUACGGGCAGACUAGAGUGCGGUAGGGGAGACUGGAAUUCCUGGUGUAGCGGUGAAAUGCGCAGAUAUCAGGAGGGAACACCCGGGUGGGCGAAAGGCGGGUCUCUGGGCCGUAAC